UACGUAGGGGGCAAGCGUUGUCCGGAAUCAUUGGGCGUAAAGAGCGUGUAGGCGGCUCGAUAAGUCUGCUGUGAAAGUCCAGGGCUCAACCCUGGAAGGCCGGUGGAAACUGUCGGGCUAGAGUCCGGAAGAGGCGAGUGGAAUUCCCGGUGUAGCGGUGAAAUGCGCAGAUAUCGGGAGGAACACCCGUGGCGAAGGCGGCUCUCUGGGACGGUACUGACGCUGAGACGCGAAAGCGUGGGGAGCGAACAGG
rnacentral:rRNA from 1 species